rnacentral:lncRNA from 1 species
ACAACUUGAUUUCAAAGAACCGAAAGCAAUUCUGAGCGCGCCAACGAGCUACCAAAUGAUGUCCAAUAACUCUACAACUCUAAAAAUAUGACAAUAAUGAUGUUUGUGAGCUACUAACAUUGUCAAUUAACAUAAUCUAACUCAUCUUGACCAAAAGUCCCAAAUUUCCUAAUUCUAAUAACCCUAAAUUCGGAUUUAUAUAUACUCAUAAAUAUAGAGAUGACAAAAAUUGGGGAUAUGGCUCAUUAUUGAGUCAAAGAGUUACCUUGAAGCCUCAAUAAUAAUUGGAAAUCAAAGUUGAUUGCUUCUUUCACUCAUUAAGUUGACAUUCCAUGAUUUGGGGUUUUGAGAAAAUGAGAUUUUGAAUAAAUAGAGAUAGAGUAGAAAAAGAAAGAAAGGUAAGAUGAUGAAGAUAAGUUUGAUAAUAGUGUGAAAUUGCAAGAAGAGAUGAGAAGAUGGAAGAGUUGAAUGAGAAGAGAAGAAGAAGAGAAGGUUUUAGGUUUUGUUGGAAGGAAAUAAAAGAAAGUGAAAGAAAGAAAGGGGGACGGGGGACGGGUCUUCGAAGGAGGGGAGGGGAAAUAGGGAAUUUCGAAUUCAUAUAUGGUGAUAAGUGUGAUAGUUAUCUUCGGACUCAAACAAAUACGAAUAUUUGUCGCGCAUAGCGUCCUCUACUUCCCAAGUUGCUUCUUCUACCGAAUGAUUCUUCCAAACAACCUUCACAGACGCUAUCUCUUUAGAACGUAGUUUCUUUACUUGGCGAUCAACUAUAGCCACUGGUUCCUCUUCAAAUGAUAAAUCUUUCUUCAGCUCUAUGGCUUGUGGUGCAAGCACAUGAGAUGAGUCAGGAAGGUAUUUGCGCAACAUUGAUACAUGAAAGACUGGAUGAAUCAUAGACAACUCAGGCGGCAAUGCCAAGCAGUAAGCAACUGCACCUAUUCUGUCCAGUAUCUCAAAUGGACCAAUGUAUCGAGGACUAAGCUUGCCUCUUUUCCCAAACCUCAUCACUCCCUUCAUAAGCGACACUCUAAGAAAUACCUGAUCACCCACUGAAAACUCUAAGUUACGCCUUCUGUUAUCAACAUAGGCCUUCUGCCUACUCUGAGCUGCUAAUAAACGUUCUCUUAUUAUGCGAACCUUCUCAACUGCAUCUUGUACCAAAUUUGGCCCCAAAAGCUUAACCUCACCAACCUCAAACCACCCAACAGGUGACCUGCAUCUUCUCCCAUAAAGAGCCUCAAAAGGUGCCAUUUGAAUGCUGGCUUGAUAACUAUUAUUAUAAGAGAACUCGAUCAAAGGUAGAUAGCUGUCCCAAUUUCCACCAAAAUCUAGAACACAACACCUUAACAUGUCUUCCAAUAUCUGGAUCGUCCUCUCUGAUUAUCCAUCGGUUUGAGGGUGAAAAGCUGUGCUAAGAUCCAGACGAGUUCCUAACGCUUUUUGAAAAGAUUUCCAAAAAUGAGAGGUAAACUGGGGCCUGCGAUCUGAAAUAAUGGACACUGGAAUUCCAUGUAGCUUAACUAUCUCAUCAACAUAAAGUUGAGCAUAUCGAGCUGCACUAAAAGUUGUUUUUACCGGAAGAAAGUGAGCUGACUUUGUCAUUCUAUCCACAAUUACCCAAAUUGAAUCAAAACCUUUAAAGCUACGAGGUAAACCUGUUACAAAAUCCAUCGUAAUCCUUUCCCACUUCCAUUCAGGUAUCUCAAUUUGUUGCAAUAACCCAGCAGGUCUUUGAUGUUCAGCUUUAACCUGUUGGCAAGUUAAGCAAUGAGAAACAAAAACCCCUAUGUCUUUUUUCAUGCCUUCCCACCAAAACAAUUAUUUCAAAUCUUGAUACAUCUUAUUGGAGCCCAAAUGAACGAUAUACUUAGAAUUGUAAGCCUCCUCCAAAAUAGCUUUCUUCAAGUCGUGGUUAUCUGGCACACAUAAGCAUUGACCACAACGCAAGACAUCUUGAUCAAGAGAAAAGUUUGAGUUCCUCCCAUUGCGAACAUCUUCUAUAAGCUUUCUUAGUUUCGGGUCAUCACGUUGUGCAGCCUUGAUCUGUUCUAUUAGGGAAGAUUGGGCUCGAACAUGUGCUAAGAAAACUCCUGAUUCUCCAAGGUCAAAUUGAAUUCCACCGGCCUCCAAUUGAUGGACUUCUUCAACAAUUGGUCUCCUUGCAAGAGUGAUAUGGGCCAAGCUACCCAUAGAUUUUCUACUGAGGGCAUCUGUUACAACAUUUGCCUUUCCAGGAUGAUACAAAAUAGUACAAUCGUAAUCUUUUAGCAACUCCAUCCAUCUCCGUUGUCUCAAAUUUAAAUCCUUCUGUUGAAAUAUAUACUUCAAACUCUUGUGAUCCGUGUAGAUCUCACAAGUCUCACCAUAAAGGUAGUGUCUCCAAAUCUUCAAAGCAAAAAUGACUGCUGCCAUUUUCAGGUCAUGAGUUGGAUAAUUCUGCUCAUGCUUCUUGAGUUGUCGUGAGGCAUAGGCAAUAACGCGGCCAUGCUGCAUCAAUACACAACCCAGUCCUAUCCGAGAUGCGUCACAAAAGACUGAGAAUCCCCCAGACCCAGAAGGUAAAACAAGAACUGGUGCUGAGGUUAGACAAGCCUUAAGUGUCUGGAAACUUUCCUCACAAGCUUCUGACCAUUGAAACUUCACAUUUUUCUGAGUUAACUUGGUUAAUGGUGCCGAAAUUCUGGAGAAGUCCUUGAUGAAUCGCCAAUAGUAACCGGCCAAUCCUAGAAAGCUACGAAUUUCCGUCACUGCAGUAGGCCUUGGCCACUUCUGAACGGCUUCCACUUUCUUUGGAUCCACCAUGAUUCCAUCUUUUGAUACCACAUGUCCCAAAAAUGUCACUUGAUCAAGCCAAAACUCACAUUUAGAAAACUUAGCAUAAAGCUUGUGAUCCCUUAAGGUUUGUAACACAAUCCUCAAAUGAUACUCAUGCUCCGUAUCAUUUUUCGAAUACACCAAGAUAUCAUCGAUGAAGACGAUAACAAAGCGAUCUUAGAACAGGAGCUCCCCACAGAGAAGUGCUAGGACGAAUGAAUCCUUUCUCUAGCAUAUCUUCCAAUUGAACUUUCAAUUCUCGUAACUCAGUUGGAGCCAUACGAUAGGGAGGAAUGGACACAAGUUGGAUUCCCGGAGCUAAUUCUAUGGAAAACUCAACUUCGCGGUCAGGUGGCAUCCCUGGUAGCUCAUUAGGGAACACGUCAGGAAAUUCUCUAACUAUAGGAACCUGAUCAAGACUAGGCACUUCGGCAUCAGCAUCUCUAAUAGCUGCCAGAAAUCCUUGGUUCCCCUUAUCCAUCAAUUGCAUAGCACUCAUAGAUGAGAUGAUGCUAGCUAAAGUGGGACAGUCAUCACCCUUAAAAAUAAAAGGUGAGAUACCCGGUAUGUCAAACUUCACAGUUUUGGAGUAACAGCCCACAUCAGCAUGACAAGCUGCUAACCAAUCCAUGCCUAAGAUGACAUCAAUAUCUUCCAUUGGUUCUAAAAGGAUCAAAUCAGCUAAGGUCUCAACCGUAUUAAUUCUAACAACACAAGACCGAAACACGACUCGAACCACCGUGGAGACUCCAAGUGGAGUGCCAACAUGAAAUGGGUGGGAUAACAGUUCAGGUUGUUUAUCGAAACGAGAUGCAAGAUGUGGAGAUACAUAUGAAUAAUGAGAACCCGUAUCAAAUAACACUCGAGCAUCUAAAGAACAAACUUGUAAAGUACCUGCCACCACAGCAUUAGAAGCUUGAGCAUCUUGACGUGUCAAAGCAUACACACGUGCCUGACCUCUUCCUCUUUGGCUCCCUCCUCUGUUAUAAGCUUGACCCCUGCCACCAGCUCCUCUGCCACUAGGACCAGAAGAAUUUCCAAUAGACAUAGCUGAAGAUGAUGGCAUUGGUGUUGUAGGACGUGCAAUACCUGGAGCAAAGCCUCCUCUAGGAUUUGGACAAUCCCUCCUAAGAUGACCAGAUUGACCACAACCAAAACAUGCACCAAUAGCCUUGAAAUAUAUACCGGAAUGGUAGAUCCCACACUACUGGCAGUAAGAUUUAGUUGGUCUUGUCUGAUUAGAACCAUGUCCGCUAGAUUGAGGGGUGCCCCCAACAAAAGGUCUUGGACUUGUAACACUCAUAGGAACAGAUCCAGAAGAAGCAACCCCACCGAAAGAUGUUUGAGGACGAGCUCGAUACCCCGAAUAACCUUGCUGAUUAGUCUGACCAUGAUGAGACUGAAAUCCUCCUGAACUAGCUCCACCAAAAAAUUGUCCCUUCAUCUUAGGCUUCUUACCAACAUCCUUAAAAGCAUUUCUCUCUGCUAUCCCAGCUUCAAUUUCAUAAGCAGAGUUUAGGACAUCCUUAAAAGACAUGCGUCCGACUUCAGACAUAAGAGUAGUGAACAUAGGUUCUGCCAAUCCACGAACGAAACGACGAACUUUCAUCUCUUCUGAAUUCACCAAGUACGGAGCACUCUUAGAAAGUCUAGUAAACUCCUUAGCAUACUCAGUCACUGUCAUGUUUUCUUGCCUUAAUCUUUCAAAGGCAAUUGCAUCUUCUGCUUGCUUGUUAGCUGGAUAAAAUCGAGCGAGGAACUCUUCAGUGAACUCUUCCCAAGAAGGAGGAGGAAGUCCGGUUGCUUCUUUGCUCUCAAGAAGAGACUCAUACCAAUAUCUUGCCGAACCACGCAAGUUGUAGGAUACUAACUCAACAGCCCAUUCCUUGGUGCACUUGAGAGCCCGAAUAGCUUUCUUUGCGUCCUCUAGAUAUUGUUGUGGAUCUUCAUUCAAUGAAUAUCCAUUGAAAGUGGACGAAUUCAACUUUAAAUACUUCUCAAUUGGUGGCUCUUGAUCUCCAAACAAUUGAUGAACUCUAUGAGGCUGAGGAUUUGGCAUACUAGGAAUGCCUGCUCCGCCCCUAUUUUGAUUUGGUAGGGCCUGUAAUACCGCAUUAAGGGUUUGAUUCAUUCCCCUUAAUUCAAUCGCUAAGUCCGGUUGAGCCUCUCUUACUGCGGGGUUCUCUCCUUCGCGCCUAUUAGCUAUCCUUUGGCUCCUUGGUCUUUGUCGAAGUGCUCCAAGUGGCGGAGAAGCUGCCCUAUUGGAUUCAGCAGUAUCAGGAGCAUUAACAGCUCCACCACGUCUUUUCUUAGGUGGCAUCUUCUACCUAUCGAGUAAGUAAACCGAUUGAAUCACCAACGACAUGUAUAUGGAGUUCAAAGAGAAUAGGAUAGACAGAAAGAAUCAUGAGAACAAAGGAUUGAUGACAACUUCCUAUAGGCCUCUAGUAACAUCACACUUUGUGAAAAUAGGCCGGCUUCCAUUUGCACAAUUGUGAUCUUACUAGAGAACACUUGCUCCAUAUUACACAGGAAAACCUAAGGCUCUGAUACUAUUUUGUCAUGACCCGAAUCCAGCCAUGACUGGCGCUCAAGGGACAAGUCCCUCGGCAAGCCAAACGACCAAAUUUUCAGAAAAAUGGACAGAAUCUCCUCUGUUUCUAGGACCUUACCCACAUACAUAUUAACUCCCUGUAUCAACAAUAAACAUCCAUUUCCAAAGACAACAACAACAACAUACUCCAAUCAUAUCCACAACCAAAUAUAUCCAGAAUACGCAUCAUAUAUAUAUAUCAAGUUGAUAACUAGAGUAUAUAGUUAAAACCAUAAGUCCCAGAUGCAUCUAGGUUAACGUCAUAACCGCCGUUAACUACGGUUUUCUAGUCAGAGUCUCCCAAAUCAAUCCAAACCAAAUCAUUUAUAACAAAUCUCUAAUAAUUAUAACAUAUUACUAAAUUUUCAUAUUAAGUCAAAAAUAUAUAUAAGAAUGCAUACUAAAAUUUAAUUAAAAUUUAAUAAAGUCAAAUAAAAAAACAUGUAUGCUUUACAAAAUAUAUAAAUAUCGUCUCGUGUGUAUUUUUAUAAAAUUGUGAGUUUCACGAAUCAUUAUUUAUUUCAAAAAUUCAAAAAUCACAAUAGUAAAAUAUUUUCAAACUCCAAAAUUAAUGAUUCAACAUAGAUAUUGAUAAUAAUAUAUUUAAAAACAAUUAUAGAUAUAAUAUCCACUCACAACUUGAUUCCAAAGAACCGGAAGCAACUCUGAGUGCGUCAACGAGCUACCAAAUGAUGUCCAAUAACUCUACAACUCUAAAAAUAUGACAAUAAUGAUGUUUGUGAGCUACUAACAUUGUCAAUUAACAUAAUCUAACUCAUCUUGACCAAAAGUCCCAAAUUUCUUAAUUCUAAUAACCCUAAAUUUGGAUUUAUAUAUACCCAUAAAUAUAGAGAUGACAAAAAUUGGGGACAUGGCUAAUUAUUGAGUCAAAGAGUUACCUUGAAGCCUCAAUAAUAAUUGGAACUCAAAGUUGAAUGCUUCUUUCACUCAUUAAGUUGACAUUCCAUGAUUUGGGGUUUUGAGAAAAUGAGAUUUUGAAUAAAUAGAGAUAGAGUAGAAAAAGAAA